GAAGAGGACAGUGGAACUCCAUGUGUAGCGGUGGAAUGCGUAGAUAUAUGGAAGAACACCAGUGGCGAAGGCGGCUGUCUAGUCUGUAACUGACGCUGAGGCUCGAAAGCAUGGGUAGCGAACAGGAUUAGAUACCCUGGUAGUCCAUGCCGUAAACGAUGAGUGCUAAGUGUUGGAGGGUUUCCGCCCUUCAGUGCUGCAGCUAACGCAUUAAGCACUCCGCCUGGGGAGUACGACCGCAAGGUUGAAACUCAAAGGAAUUGACGGGGGCCCGCACAAGCGGUGGAGCAUGUGGUUUAAUUCGAAGCUACGCGAAGAACCUUACCAGGUCUUGAUAUCUUCUGCCAAUCUUAGAGAUAAGACGUUCCCUUCGGGGACAGAAUGACAGGUGGUGCAUGGUUGUCGUCAGCUCGUGUCGUGAGAUGUUGGGUUAAGUCCCGCAACGAGCGCAACCCUUAUUAUCAGUUGCCAGCAUUCAGUUGGGCACUCUGGUGAGACUGCCGGUGACAAACCGGAGGAAGGUGGGGAUGACGUCAAAUCAUCAUGCCCCUUAUGACCUGGGCUACACACGUGCUACAAUGGUCGGUACAACGUGCUGCGAACUCGCGAGGGCAAGCAAAUCACUUAAAACCGAUCUCAGUUCGGAUUGUAGGCUGCAACUCGCCUACAUGAAGCUGGAAUCGCUAGUAAUCGCGGAUCAGCAUGCCGCGGUGAAUACGUUCCCGGGCCUUGUACACACCGCCCGUCACACCAUGAGAGUUUGUAACACCCAAAGCCGGUGGGGUAACCCUUCGGGGAGCUAGCCGUCUAAGGUGGGACAAAUGAUUAGGGUGAAGUCGUAANCAAGGUAGCCGUA
rnacentral:rRNA from 1 species